rnacentral:rRNA from 1 species
UAUCGGUAUGGGAUGGGGUCGCGUCCUAUCAGCUUGAUGGCGGGGUAACGGCCCACCAUGGCUUCGACGGGUAGCCGGCCUGAGAGGGCGACCGGCCACAUUGGGACUGAGAUACGGCCCAGACUCCUACGGGAGGCAGCAGUGGGGAAUAUUGCACAAUGGGCGCAAGCCUGAUGCAGCGACGCCGCGUGCGGGAUGACGGCCUUCGGGUUGUAAACCGCUUUUGACUGGGAGCAAGCCCUUCGGGGUGAGUGUACCUUUCGAAUAAGCACCGGCUAACUACGUGCCAGCAGCCGCGGUAAUACGUAGGGUGCAAGCGUUAUCCGGAAUUAUUGGGCGUAAAGGGCCCGUAGGCGGUUCGUCGCGUCCGGUGUGAAAGUCCAUCGCUUAACGGUGGAUCCGCGCCGGGUACGGGCGGG